UACGUAGGGUGCAAGCGUUGUUCGGAAUUACUGGGCGUAAAGCGCACGUAGGCGGAUAUUUAAGUCAGGGGUGAAAUCCCGGGGCUCAACCCCGGAACUGCCUUUGAUACUGGGUAUCUCGAGUCCGAGAGAGGUGAGUGGAAUUCCGAGUGUAGAGGUGAAAUUCGUAGAUAUUCGGAGGAACACCAGUGGCGAAGGGCGGCUCACUGGCUCGGUACUGACGCUGAGGUGCGAAAGCGUGGGGAGCAAACAGG
rnacentral:rRNA from 1 species